rnacentral:rRNA from 1 species
UACGUAGGGUGCAAGCGUUGUCCGGAUUUACUGGGCGUAAAGAGCGCGCAGGCGGUCGUACAAGUCGCGUGUGAAAGCCCCCGGCUCAACUGGGGAGGGUCACGCGAUACUGUUCGACUCGAAGGCAGGAGAGGGAAGCAGAAUUCCCGGUGUAGUGGUGAAAUGCGUAGAUAUCGGGAGGAAUACCAGUGGCGAAGGCGGCUUCCUGGCCUGUUCUUGACGCUGAGGCGCGAAAGCUAGGGUAGCAAACGGG